rnacentral:rRNA from 1 species
GACGAACGCUGGCGGCGUGCUUAACACAUGCAAGUCGAACGAUGAAGCUGGAGCUUGCUCCGGUGGAUUAGUGGCGAACGGGUGAGUAACACGUGAGCAAUCUGCCCUUGACUCUGGGAUAACUGCGGGAAACUGUAGCUGAUACCGGAUACUUUCACUGGAAGGCAUCUUCUGGUGAAGAAAGCAUUUCGGUCAAGGAUGAGCUCGCGGCCUAUCAGCUUGUUGGUGAGGUAACGGCUGACCAAGGCGACGACGGGCAGCCGGCCUGAGAGGGUGACCGGCCACACUGGGACUGAGACACGGCCCAGACUCCUACGGGAGGCAGCAGUGGAGAAUAUUGCGCAAUGGGCGAAAGCCUGACGCAGCAACGCCGCGUGCGGGAUGACGGCCUUCGGGUUGUAAACCGCUUUCAGCAGGGAAGAAGCCGCAAGGUGACGGUACCUGCAGAAGAAGCACCGGCUAACUACGUGCCAGCCGCCGCAGUAA